rnacentral:rRNA from 1 species
CCUACGGGAGGCAGCAGUAGGGAAUCUUCCGCAAUGGACGAAAGUCUGACGGAGCAACGCCGCGUGAGUGAAGAAGGUUUUCGGAUCGUAAAACUCUGUUGUCAGGGAAGAACAAGUACCAUAGUAACUGAUGGUACCUUGACGGUACCUGACCAGAAAGCCACGGCUAACUACGUGCCAGCAGCCGCGGUAAUACGUAGGUGGCAAGCGUUGUCCGGAAUUAUUGGGCGUAAAGCGCGCGCAGGCGGUCCUUUAAGUCUGAUGUGAAAGCCCACGGCUCAACCGUGGAGGGUCAUUGGAAACUGGGGGACUUGAGUGCAGAAGAGGAGAGUGGAAUUCCACGAGUAGCGGUGAAAUGCGUAGAGAUGUGGAGGAACACCAGUGGCGAAGGCGACUCUCUGGUCUGUAACUGACGCUGAGGCGCGAAAGCGUGGGGAGCGAACAGGAUUAGAUACCCUGGUAGUCCACGCCGUAAACGAUGAGUGCUAAGUGUUAGAGGGUUUCCGCCCUUUAGUGCUGCAGCAAACGCAUUAAGCACUCCGCCUGGGGAGUACGGCCGCAAGGCUGAAACUCAAAGGAAUUGACGGGGGCCCGCACAAGCGGUGGAGCAUGUGGUUUAAUUCGAAGCAACGCGAAGAACCUUACCAGGUCUUGACAUCCUCUGACAACUCUAGAGAUAGAGCGUUCCCCUUCGGGGGACAGAGUGACAGGUGGUGCAUGGUUGUCGUCAGCUCGUGUCGUGAGAUGUUGGGUUAAGUCCCGCAACGAGCGCAACCCUUGAUCUUAGUUGCCAGCAUUCAGUUGGGCACUCUAAAGUGACUGCCGGUGACAAACCGGAGGAAGGUGGGGAUGACGUCAAAUCAUCAUGCCCCUUAUGACCUGGCUACACACGUGCUACAAUGGAUGGUACAAAGGGCUGCAAACUCGCGAGGGUAAGCGAAUCCCAUAAGCCAUUCUCAGUUCGGAUUGCAGCUGCACUCGCCUGCAUGAAGCAGAUCGCUAGUAUCGCGGAUCAGCAUGCUGCGUGAUACGUUCCCGG